rnacentral:rRNA from 1 species
CGGAUCAGCAUGCCGCGGUGAAUACGUUCUCGGGCCUUGUACACACCGCCCGUCACACCAUGGGAGUCGGUAACACCCGAAGUCUGUAGCCUGACGCAAGAGGGCGCAGCCGAAGGUGGGAUUGAUGACUGGGGUGAAGUCGUAACAAGGUACC